rnacentral:rRNA from 1 species
AUUGAACGCUGGCGGCAGGCCUAACACAUGCAAGUCGAACGGUAACAGGAAGAAGCUUGCUUCUUUGCUGACGAGUGGCGGACGGGUGAGUAAUGUCUGGGAAACUGCCUGAUGGAGGGGGAUAACUACUGGAAACGGUAGCUAAUACCGCAUGACGUCGCAAGACCAAAGAGGGGGACCUUCGGGCCUCUUGCCAUCGGAUGUGCCCAGAUGGGAUUAGCUAGUAGGUGGGGUAACGGCUCACCUAGGCGACGAUCCCUAGCUGGUCUGAGAGGAUGACCAGCCACACUGGAACUGAGACACGGUCCAGACUCCUACGGGAGGCAGCAGUGGGGAAUAUUGCACAAUGGGCGCAAGCCUGAUGCAGCCAUGCCGCGUGUAUGAAGAAGGCCUUCGGGUUGUAAAGUACUUUCAGCGGGGAGGAAGGGAGUAAAGUUAAUACCUUGCUCAUUGACGUACCCGCA